rnacentral:rRNA from 1 species
UACGGGGGGGGCAAGCGUUGUUCGGAAUUACUGGGCGUAAAGGGCUCGUAGGUGGCCAACUAAGUCAGACGUGAAAUCCCUCGGCUUAACCGGGGAACUGCGUCUGAUACUGGAUGGCUUGAGUUCGGGAGAGGGAUGCGGAAUUCCAGGUGUAGCGGUGAAAUGCGUAGAUAUCUGGAGGAACACCGGAGGCGAAGGCGGUCCACUGGGUCCUUUCUGACGCUGAGGGACGAAAGCUAGGGGAGCGAACGGG